GCCAGUGACACUGCUAGUCAAUUACGAAGAGAGGAGGAAAUGCUAAUGUUUACAACCAGUGAAGUGUCUCCAGUUUCCCAGUAAAACCAGUGAUGUAGGUCAUUUUGCUGCACGGAGUGAAAUGACAGUUAGAUAAUGUGUCAAAUUAAAUGACGAGGUUAAACAAUCAGCGUCCUGAUGGAUUGGGUGUUCGUCAUGAACCGGAUGAGCUCUCAGGGCAGCGCGGCGGCCCAGCGGCGGCGCAUGGCCCUGGGGGUGGUGAUCCUGUUGUUGGUGGACGUCAUCUGGGUGGCCUCGUCUGAGCUCACCACGUACAUCUUCAAGCGGCAGGACUACAACAAGCCGUUCUUCAGCACCUUCACCAAGACCUCCAUGUUUGUUCUCUACCUGUUGGGCUUCCUGCUGUGGCGCCCCUGGAGGCAGCAGUGCAGUGGCGCCCUGAAGCGCCGCCAGUCUGCCUUCUUUGCUGACGCUGAGGCCUACUUCGCUCCCUGCACCACUGACAGCGCUGUGAACAACUGCUUGAGUGAGCCGCUGUACGUCCCGAUGAAGUUCCAGGACGCAGCAGCCGAUCCGUACGACUGUUUACCUGCAGACUGUGGAGCCGCCUCCAAAAAGCAGCGAGUUCGUUUCAGCAACAUCAUGGAGGUGCGUCAGCUGCCGUCCACCCAGGCUCUGGAGGCCAAAUUGUCCCGUAUGUCCUACCCGGCCGCCAAGGACCACGAGGCCCUGCUGCGCACAGUGGGGAAGCUAACCAUCACCGAUGUGGCUAAAAUCAGCUUCUUCUUCUGCUUUGUGUGGUUCCUGGCUAACCUUUCCUACCAGGAAGCUCUGUCUGACACACAGGUGGCCAUCGUCAACAUCCUGUCCUCCACCUCAGGCCUCUUUACGCUCAUCUUGGCAGCCAUCUUCCCCAGUAACAGCAGCGACCGGUUCACGUUGUCCAAACUGUUGGCUGUGGCUCUCAGCAUGGGAGGAGUCGCUCUGGUGAGUCUGUCCAGCAUGGACAGCCCUGAUGAGAAAGGAGUCGUAGGCUCUCUGUGGUCGUUGGCGGGGGCCAUGCUGUACGCCGUUUACAUCGUCCUCAUCAAGAGGAGAGUGGACCGCGAGGAUAAGCUCGACAUCCCCAUGUUCUUUGGAUUCGUGGGCCUCUUCAACCUGCUGCUGCUCUGGCCCGGUUUCCUGCUGCUCCAUUUCUCCGGCUUCGAGGCCUUUGAGCUCCCCAGCCAGCUGGUCUGGACCUACAUCCUGAUCAACGGCCUGAUCGGAACCGUCUUGUCUGAGUUCCUGUGGCUCUGGGGCUGCUUCCUGACGUCGUCUCUGAUCGGGACUCUGGCUCUCAGCCUCACCAUCCCGCUCUCCAUCCUGGCAGACAUCUGCCUGCAGAAGGUCCGGUUCUCCUGGCUGUUCUUUGCCGGAGCCAUCCCCGUCUUCCUCUCCUUCUUCAUUGCCGCGUUGCUCUGCCACUACAACAACUGGGACCCGGUGCUGCUGGCGCUGCGCCGCCUCUACACCUUUAUGUUCAGGAAGCACCGAGUGCAGAGGUACGGCGGCCCCAAACGGUCAAAAAUAUGAUCAGGAAGCACCGAGCGCAGAGACUGUCAGACGAACAGACUGAAAGCCUUAUUCCUCUGCACUCGGUUUCCCCUGAUGAGUGAUCGUCCUUCUCAAGCCGUGGAGCCGCUGAGCCAACAAGCCGGAAGCUUCCUGGGCGUUGAACCUGUGCCUCUCAUCCAUCCAUCCAGCCUGAUCUUUUACUUUUGGUUCUUUGUGUCAGUUCUGGUUUUGUAGAACUGGUUCGGGGUUGGAUCGUCGUUCUGCUGAGUCAGCUCUACUUAGUGCUGCUGUUUUCAGAAAUCAGUUUAAAAUCAAACAUCCAGUUAAAUUCAACUUUAUUUGCUUCAUUUGAGGCGAAUGAAACCAGAACAGCUGAUCUGGACCUGAGAACAAACUGAAGCUCAGAACCACUAAAGAACUAAACGUGAUGGGGAACCGCCGCGUCACUCUGGACCAGAACACUAAUUUCUCCUGGAUGGAUUCACCUUUAACCUCAGAGGAAAUGAAAUGAUUCAGAUUGCUCUGAGUUUCCUCCGUUUAAUGGAGAUAGGAGCGGAAACCUGUUUCAGGCGAAGAAACACGUUUAUUUAUCAGUCACUACAGAUUUCUACUGAGCGAAGCUGAAAACGCAGCCGGCGCUUCCUGUCUGCUGGGAUUUCUGUCCUCAAACAAAGCACUUCUUCUUCUUCAUCGUUCCUUCCUGUGAACUCUUCCUCAGCAGGAGAAAAGCCGACUCUUCUCGGUUCGUCCGGUUAAAUGUGCAAUGUUUUUGCUUCUUGGUUGGUUUUUGUUCGUUGCACUUUCUCUGUUUUUUUUUUUUCUUCUGUGGUGAUUUCAGCUGAGAAGAUUUUAAAGAACAUUAAUGUUUAUCUUUUAUAAUGGUGCUUGUGAAAUCAUGGGUUGGUUUUUUCGUUCUCAGGUUCUCUGUCUUGUUUUGAGAAUGUUGUACAAUCUAAAUAAAAAAAGGCUUAAAACGUUAUAUUAUUAAUAAUAAUAAUAAUAAUAAUAAUAAUUGCCCCUUUAUCAACCAACUCGUGAAUAAUUCUUUUAUUUUUCAAAACUGUUUUCAUACUUCAGUGAACUAUUAAAACAUAUCUUU